rnacentral:rRNA from 1 species
CAGCAGCCGCGGGAAUACGUAGGUGGCGAGCGUUGUCCGGAUUUAUUGGGCGUAAAGGGAGUGUAGGCGGUCUUUUAAGUCUGAUGUGAAAGCCCACGGCUCAACCGUGGAGGGUCAUUGGAAACUGGGAGACUUGAGUGCAGAAGAGGAGAGCGGAAUUCCAUGUGUAGCGGUGAAAUGCGUAGAUAUAAGGAGGAACACCAGUGGCGAAGGCGGCUCUCUGGUCUGUAACUGACACUGAGAGACGAAAGCUAGGGGAGCAAAUGGGAUUAGAUACCCGUGUAGUCCCUGUCUCUUAUAC